rnacentral:rRNA from 1 species
ACUAACAAGGAUUCCCCUAGUAACGGCGAGUGAAGUGGGAAAAGCUCAACUUUAAAAUCUGGCACUUUUAGUGUCCGAGUUGUAGUCUCGAGAAGUGUUUUCCGCGCUGGACCACGUACGAGUCUGUUGGAACACAGCGUCAUAGAGGGUGAGAAUCCCGUUCAUGAUGUGGACUCCCAGUGCUUUGCGAUACACUUUCGAUGAGUCGAGUUGUUUGGGAAUGCAGCUCAAAUUGGGUGGUAAAUUCCAUCUAAAGCUAAAUAUUGGCGAGAGACCGAUAGCGAACAAGUACCGUGAGGGAAAGAUGAAAAGCACUUUGGAAAGAGAGUUAACAGUACGUGAAAUUGUUGAAAGGGAAACGCUUGAAGUCAGACGUGCGUGGUGCAAUUCAACCGCAAGGUGUAUUUUGUGCCAAAGCAGGCCAGCAUCGGUUUUCCGAGUCGGAUAAAGGUAAGAAGAAGGUAGCAACCUUCGGGUUGUGUUAUAGCUUCUUACUGAAUACGAAAUGGGAGACCGAGGAACGCAGUGCGCCGCAAGGCAGCUCGAUCAGUCGAGUUUCGCACUUAGGAUGCUUGGUGAAAUGGCUUUAAACGACCCGUCUUGAAACACGGACCAAGGAGUCUAACAUGCUUGCGAGUAUUUGGGUGGUCAAACCCGAGUGCGCAAUGAAAGUGAAUCGGAGGUGGGAUCCUGUUAAAGGGAGCACCAUCGACCGGUCUUGAUUUUUAAUGAAGGAUCUGAGUAAGAGCACGUAUGUUCCCCCGAAAGAUGGUGAACUAUGCCUGAAUAGGGUGAAGCCAGAGGAAACUCUGGUGGAGGCUCGUAGCGGUUCUGACGUGCAAAUCGAUCGUCAAAUUUGGGUAUAGGGGCGAAAGACUAAUCGAACCAUUGACUGGAAUUAACUACUAGGUGGUUAAGAGGUUUUCGUUAUAAAGCGAUUACCUAGUGAUCUUGGAUUGCAACACUGUCAAAUUGCCGGGACUUCCUUAAGCUCUUAGCUACCAAACCAUUAGACUGCAAAGCUAUGGUGGCCAGGUUAAAGACCUCGGGUAUGGUAAUAACGCUGGAGAUUGGAUAAUCGGCAGCCAAGUCCUAUUAUGUAGGCUGCUGUUCACAGACUAAAUGGCAGUGGGUCGGUUUAACAGACUGGNUUAAGAUAUAGUCGGACUUGUAAUCGAAAGUUACAAGAGGAAUCGCUAGUAG